CAACAGGAACUUAGAUGUUUGAUUUUGUCUGGGAAAAAAAAAAAAAAAAAAAAAAAAAAAAAAAAAAAAAAAGCUGUCCUAGGAGCUACAAAAGCAAGAAAUGAAUGGCUUCAUAGAAUGCAGUAACUCCCAGAGCAGGUGUUUCAAACUCUUGCUACUAAGAAAAAAAGAGAUGGUUUCAUGCAUCUGAACUUAUGCAAGCUGAAUAAAAUGAUUUUGCAGGACAAUCACACACUCCCACAGCCAGGAGGACAGUAAAUGCAAGUGAUAUAUUCUUUUGUCAUAGUGAUGUCACAUACCACAGGUGUUACCACUCUGAUUUUGACAAGUGUCCAUUUAUUCCAUUCCUGAGUCCCCCAGCGCAGCUAAUAACAGAUGGUUCUGAUGGAUACUGUAGAGACACACCGUAAAAUAGCUGGGGAGAACAGCUUAGAGAGAAAAUACUUCUUCAACUUCUUUGUCAGAGAUAUGGAUCUGACACUGUAUGAUUACUAAAGUUCAGAUGACUUCUGCAAAACAAAAUCAAGGUAUGAUGCCUAUUAAAAAGACAUAACAAACCAUUGUGGCAGGCUAACUUGAUCAACUUAUAAGACAUGUAUAGGAUCUGUGGGCAUCUUUUGAUAUGUUUGGUCACAAAUUAUUGCUUGACAUCAAGGUUCCUACAGAAAGGAGUGCAGUGACUCCUUGCUGGAUCUUCUCUUUUCCUCUUUAUAAUGCACAGAAAGAAAAUUCUAAAUAACAGACAUGACUUCUUGGCAAUUCUACGUGGCCAGUCAUGAGUUAUGUCUUUUUUGUUUUUGUUUUUUCUUAAAGGUACAAUCAUUAAUGCAUAAACAAUAGAAAAGGAAAAUCCUGAAACAAUGUUGACUCAGUGCUUCCACUUAUCCCGGCAGAAGUUGUUUUCUAGUAUCUUUCCUAUUUACAUGCUGUUUAAUUGCAGAGUGGAAUUGAUUUAAUAGGUUAUGUUUUUCCACUACAGGCAUCCAAUCUGGGUUAGGGACUGGCUUCUUCCCAAAUAUCUUGUCUGGGGUUCGUUGAUACAGAAACUUCUGCAUACAAGGAACUGCCUGCAGAGUUGAUAAGCAAGCUUCUGAUGAGCUACCUUUUCUUUCCAAGUGCAAUUUUCCCUUGAAUGGUUGUUGAUUGUGAAGAAUAUC
rnacentral:lncRNA from 1 species